rnacentral:tRNA from 1 species
GGAGAGGUGCGUGAGAUGGCUGAAACGGCAGUCCUGGAAAGACUGUAUACCGCAAGGUAUCGAGGGUUCGAAUCCCUCCCUCUCCG